UUCCAUCUGUGGGUGUCCCUGUGCCUGUGGAAACGUAACCGUUCCGAGGAGAUGCCCGUUUAGGGGCUCUGGGCUCUGGCUUGCUUCUUGCGCGACUCAUGCAACAGGUAUGAAUUGAUCUAUCUGGUCCGUUCUCCUGCAGUAAUAAGUUACUCCCAGUUAGUGUUUUUGAUGCUUAGUUUUUAUCUCUAUUUCUUACCUAGGUUGGUUGGCUGCUUUUACGGUACAUUACACUUUGCUUGGUACUUUCUUCGUUUUACGAUGUAAGAUUUUUUUGCCUUGUUUAGAUUCAUAUGUAUAUUAAUGAAUCUAGACAUAUAUAUAAAUUAUAUACAUUCAUCAAUUAAUGAAUUUAGACAUGACUAGAAAGACUUACAAUAUGAAAUGGAGGUAGUAGUAGUGUAGUAGGAUCAGAUCUAACCAUUGAUUUGGAUGGCCAUUUUAAAUCUAACUAUGUUUUUUUUAUAAGUAUAUUAUAUGUUUUAUUUGAAACUUUGAUAAGAUAUAUUUAGUAGUGGUCUUGGAGUGAUUGUAUCACCUUUAUGUAAUGACCUAAGAUCAAUAAAAACUUCCUUUAUCUUAAAAAAGUAAUCUAUUUAUUUUAAUAUUACAUACGACACAUAAAUUUAUCGUAAAUUAUAUAUUUUAGUUUUAAUUUUACCUUUAUAAAAUUUUACUACGCAUCUUGCCCGUGUAGUAUAAGGAAAUCAUAUCCGUUGGAUCAAAGUAACAACAGACGGCGCGCAUACAAUUGUUUGGAGGGUACCUUAAAAAAUACGGGUCGAUUACACCGUGGUCAGGGAUACGGUAAGAGCAUUAGACAGUAAGUUGUGGUUUUUUAUUAAGUUGUUUUCCAUGCACUCAAAUCUGAAAUGGUUGUUAGAUCCUGUUGUUAUUAGGUGUACGGGGAGUUAAAUUUUUUGCUAAGUUUAUUGUUAUUUCGUAUUUUUUUCCAUUUUUAAUGAAUAUUAGGUUUUUAGAUAAUGAUAAUUAGUUGUCGUGCAUCAUGUCCGUCGCUCAGGCUGCUGGUGAUUAGCCUUUUCUUAGGAAAUGGUGAUUAUUUUUCAUAUCAACUGUGCGUGUGCGUCAAUUUUCAUUUCUGCUAUUGUACACAUAGUUCCUAUAAUUCUAUCAAGUAGAAAAACUGCUAGUGAAAACCAUACCGAAAAGUACAGGAUCGAAAACCGAUAACGAGGCACAACAUUUGAGUAUUUGAAGAGGCAAAUUUUACCCGUACCCUACAGCUCCUCCUUGGUGUAGCAUAUUAUGCUAUGGCUUUACGGUGGGAGGAAGGGUUAGUUAUCCAGUGUGAUAAACAUACUAAUGAUUAGUACAUAAAUAAUUAGUUAUUAGUUAUUAAAAAAAUAUAAAAUAAAUUAAUAUAAUUUUUAAAACAACUUUCGUAGAAAACAUGUGCGCGGAAAACGAUGGGGCUAAGAUAACUUAGCCCUCUGGCCAAACGCGGUCUAUACCAUGUAUCGGAAAAUGCGCUACAUGUAAGAGGUUUUCGUACGAUCUUAGAGUAUCCCCAACAACUCAUCUAUCACAUCCUCCAUCCUAGAAAUAGAGGACGAAGAGUAAAAGUUAAGCUCUAGCAGAACAUCUAUCUCAUCAUCUAUAUUUGGAUGUCAUCUAUAUUAGGAGAGAGAAACUCUAUAUUUAGAUGUUCUCUCUUCAAUCCUUCAAAUAGAUAUAGAGGAUGCCAUAUACAGAUGAUCCGUUGGAGUAAAAAAGAUAUAAAUAUAAAGAAUGAAAGUGUUAAGAUAAGCUGCCGGAAACGUUCUUGGGACGAAACCAAACGGCCACGGCGCAGCAACCAAACAGCGAACGGCGCAUGCAGGACCAAACAGGGCACCGCUGCUAUCACGGACCGUGUCAUCGUACAAGCAUCGUACGAAAAGCUCGUACGCAUAGCAUCGCUCACCAUGUAUCUACCAUCACUAGCUGGCAAUACAAUUAGCCAGUCAUAUCCGCACGUAUGCUAUAGUCAUAUAUGGUUACAGGUGUAUCGUCUAUCUAGAGUUAGAGCCCGUUUAGCACAUCUUCAGCUCCUAACUUCAACUUAUCUAGAACUGGAGUUGUGCCAAACGGUAUGGAUUCUAUUUUUUUUUAAGCGGAGUUGGUGGAGCUGCUUCUAAAAAAUAAACUAAGGGGUGGAGCUGGGUUUUUGCUGCUCCACAGCUUCACUCCACGCCAAAAGACCCACUACCCUUUAUUAUUUCAUUAUCAUUACUCAAAUCUGUCACUCAUGUACCCUAAUCUAUUCUCUCCCCAUCUCCCUCCGUGUUUAGCGCACAACGGUUCGAAGCGGCGACGACACGCGUAGGACUCGGCAGCGGUACUUGUGGCACAAUAUAUUUAUAUCAUAGCAUGUUAUUUUGUGCUCAUUUCAUUUAUGUUAAUGAUAAUGCUACUAUAUAUUAUUACUAAAUAUUUAUAUUGUAGGUUAACUGUGAUAUAGUAUUUGUCAUAUAGUAUAUUGUAACCAUAUAGUUGUGUUGUUUAAAUUAAAAAAUAAUCAGUAUUUAAUUACAUAAAAAAGAAACAUAAUUAAAUUAUGGCUUAAUCAUGACUACACAUAAUCCACAAGAGUAUUAUUAACAAUAUACUCUGUAUCCUCUUUUUUAAGAGUUCUGUAGCAGACCAAGCUAGCCAAACAGUUUUGAUAUACUCUCAAGCUCUCACAGGAGCAGCUCUUACUGGAGUUAGAGUUUGGAGCUAAGAGCUGGAGUUUAGAGCCCUACCAAACGGACCCUUAGAGUCAAACUCUAUAACUGUUGUAACUCCAAAUCCAAAUCCUCUGUAACCGAUUGCAUAGUAUAUACACAUAUUCUGCACUAACUCUAACAUGUUACAGCAUAUACAACUAAAUUGAUCAUAUUUGUCAUUCUUCAUUCAUUCUCUAACUGUAGGAGAUAUUGCUAAUUGGUAGGUUGGACACGUCGAUGAUCAACUGGAACACAUAGGACACAUCACAGUGCUGUCCAAGUAACCCACUGCCAACAAAUGGAAGAAUGCUGGGUAGAGGUCCUUAAUUUGGACAGGUGUUUGUUCAGUGUUCUUGCUGAAGCAAAAAAUUCUGCAAGGUAGGUCAUUUUGUUAUAACUUAUAACCCUUACCCUGCUAUACUGUUUAGUCCACACAAAAAUUAUUUUAAAACCCUCUUACAAAAUGCAUCAAUAGUGAAAUCCAUGAUUUUUUUUUACUGCCCUGCCAUGUAGAAUGGUUAAGCUCAUCUUCAAUCUGCAAUGUUUCUACCAGGAUCCAAAUUGGUGGCCUGGUGCUGCAUCUGCAUGCCAUCAGAGAUCAUGACUACCGAAUACUAUUUCUUUACAGCGUUGAGGGCUCUACAUCAACAUGGUAACAUGGGCCAUAUCGCUAUGCAUUUACUCCUAACUGAUGGAACAAACAACCCGCGAUCAAACUGACUGCAAGAUCAAGUGCACAAUCACUGUCAACUGUGCAAAUAUGGUGAUGAUAGUGGAUAGAUAUGUCAUAUAUGCUGCAAAGUGGAGACAUGUACUUCAUCUGAAAUGUUCGUAGUGAUACUAUGGGUCUGUUUGGGAGAGCUUUUUUCACAGCUCCUAAGAAUCUGUAACUACAGAUUC
rnacentral:lncRNA from 1 species